rnacentral:lncRNA from 1 species
GGUGAUUGCUGCUGAGAGAGGAGUUGGAUGCUAUUCUGCUAUGGAUUUGGUUUUGUUGGAGUUUUGCCAUAGUGAAAUGUACUGAUGCACAUGGUGUGCUCCUCCUGCUCCACUCUGAGCUCUCUGUGUAUUUGCGAAGAGUUCAGAGCCUUCAACCUCUUCAAGGAAAAAAGCAGCAGCCAUGGAGGAGAUGGGAGCCUUGCUGCUGCUCCAGUCCUCAUGUAAUGCCCACAGCACGACCUCGGGGAUCCCAGGGCAGGCUGUGCUCUGAUAUCUUCCAUCUUCUGCUGCCGUACCAGAAAUGUGAGCGUCUCACUGUACAGCUAAUGGAGGAAGACUCUCACCUGCUCCAUCCCGUAUGACUGAGCUGAAUUUGGAGCUGAAGAGGACGUCUGUGUGGUUCAAGAUGAACUCCACAACGACUGACUGGAUCCGCACCUCCAUGAAGGCAGCUGUUCCACUGAAGCAGGCAGACUCAAUCUGCUUUGAUCUGAAGAAAAGGUACAUUAAGCACCACUGCAACCAGCCAGAAGAGUGGGAAGGUGUGCACCCCUUGGCAGCCAACCGUGACCGCUGGAAUCCGGCUCUGUGUGUGCCCAGGUACAACCACUGCACAUACAGAAGCCACAUCCUGCUACCAGGAACGUUCUUCCUAUCAAACCCACUGAUAACCAUCACUACAAAUCCCAGCACAAACAGCAAAUGGAUGCAACAGAAGCAACGCUAUCCAAAAUGCACAGGCAGAAGGCACACACAGCAAUUCAGAACAGAAGAUCAGCCCGCACAGGGCUGCCGAGCAGUCAUACAGAUGCACCAAACUGCCAGGAUGAUGUCUGCUUCUUUUGUUUUUUACUGUAGGACCCAAUACAUCUGAGUGCAUUGUGACAAGCUGUCCCACUUCGCACAGUUUGAAUCUAAGAAAAAACUUCCAAAUAUUUCAUUCAUAGAGGUAAAAAAAAGAAGAAAGCAGUUAGGAACCACACAAAACAUAUGCAAGUGGGGAAGAGAGGGCUUUUACUCACCUUCCCUUUAGCAAAAGCAAGUUCCCAUGAGAACAGGUCAAAGAAUUUGAUGCAAGCUUUUCUGCUGCUGUUACAGGAUUCAGUGCUGAAGAAGAAUGAGCACGACACCAACACGAGUUCUUAAAUGAAAUCCUGCAGAUGAAACUUCAGAUCAGCCGAGUCUUCGGAACUAAUUGCAGAUACAGGCUGAUUCAUGAGCAAACCCCAAAGGCCGGAGUGCUGCUGUGAUCUCUGCUGUGCAGCAGCUUAACGCUGCUGCUGGGGGGGGGGAGGGAGGGAGAGCAGAGAGGCAAGGAGGGAUGGCAGGGCACGGGCACACAGCAGAAGCUGGUAAGCAGAGGUUUGAUGUGAGCAUCAUUGUGGCCCUGUGUGACUCCACGUGCCACUGCCAGGAGAGGUCAGAGCCAAGGGCCACCAGCUAGGGCUAAAGCCGCCUGGAGAGCUUUCUGUUGUGGCUCAACAACUUGGCUCCUGCACUCAUCCAAUUAGUCAGGAAUGAUUCACAAUUAUGCAUGGAAAAGGAGAGCAGAACCGACCACCUUUCUGCCAGGAAUUCAGAGCUCUUACCACAAACAGAGCUUUGCUCAAGCCAACCAUUCUUAGAGCCGAGUCCCGCUCUGACAGAGCUUGUGAGAAAGGAAAAAAGUCUCAUUUAAAAACAACAAGAGCUCCCAGCUGGAACACAUGGAGAGCAGUGACGAGGAGCACAGAGCACUGGGCAUGGCUGCCCCAGCACCACCCCCUGCAAGUACCAUCAGCUCCAUAACAGAAGCACUCAUACAGUGCUUUCAUAUUACCGACAAUACACAGAGCACAGGGCUGGCACAGCACUGCUGAGGCCAACAGCCGUGGGCUUUCUUUGGCAGAUAAGCUGUGCCAACUCUGGCUGCUAUCUUUUUCUUCUUUACAGCAUGACCGGCUGUGCCAGGAAAAACACGAGUGUGGAUGUGGCCCAGGUUGGACACAGAGGCCUCAUUCACUGAUGCCCCACACCUGUGCUGUCACUGCGCCACACAGCCACAAGGUGCAGAGCAAUCAGCCUUCUGCUCACCAUGCAUGUGACUGCACAGGCAAUGCUCACGUGAGAUAACCGAUGCCUGUUAAAGUGCUUGCUUUGCACACACGGCAUUUGUUCCUGCAAUUAUAAAGGCUCACUGGCGUGGGGGUUGGGAGGGAAGGAGAGGACAGGCAGGUCUUGGAGCUGACCUAGAAACUCAGCUAAAAAAGCAACAAAAUGCUAUGAAUGAAACAGACAAACCAAACUGCAUCCAUCUGCCCCCCUCAGAUCCCCAGAACACUCGGAUGCCCUUUUGGUGUAGCACAGACUUCUCCUGCAGCUCCUUCCCCACACCACAGAGCCUUUUGUAACACCCAAACCUCUGUUCUCCUGGAGGGAAACUGUCACAUCCAGCCCUUCAGAAGAGCAUUUCGACCAGUUUACUCACAAACGCCAGAUAACCAUCAUUACAAACCCAACCAAAUGCUACAAAUAUCUGUAUUUCCAGAGGGCCAACAUCACAUCAACGGCAAACGUUACCAAAGACCCCACAGAGUCUGUGGGUAAGAAGCACAUCCAUGGGUGCCUACGAACGCUACCCGAAUGUGGGAGUUCUGCUUCCUACCACUGCCACAAACAGCUGCACCAGUCAAGGAUUAAAGGAUUAAGGAGGAAAAAGCAUUGACUUCCUAAUGCUGUGUGUCCCCAGGAAUUUAUCUGGAACACUUAACAUUCUUGCUCAUCCCUCCCUUAUGAGCUGGCUGGGAUUUACAGAUUGCAUUUACGUGGUCAGUGUUUCAGGUUUGCCACCGGAGGCUGAAUUCAAAACCAAGUAACAGAUAAAAGGAUGUUCUCAUGGCCAGAGCUCCAGUGGUGUCUGCAGGAAAAAAAUAUCUGCUAUUUGUCCACUUUCAGGACUUUGUUUCAGCUGAUUCCCCCACGUGGGGCAGAAGAGAUGCUGCAGGAGCAGGCAGGCAGCACGCUGCCGCCCUCCAAAUCCAACCUACCUGCAAAAUACUGCUAAAUCAAUCUGCUUUUUUAAAGUAAGCAUCCAACAAAGCACUCAUUGCAGAAGUGAAAUAAAGCCUUAAAGCCUGGUUAAAAGCAGUUCUUCCUUUGGUGACUCUAAAAGACAGCAAUGGAAGAAGAGACGUGGAUUUCAGCACUGGGACAUCAGGGGCAGCUUUGCACAUAGGAACCACAAGAAGACUGACAGCUGAAGUACAGAAAGUUGUUUCCUGCUCUCUCUGUGGAUGCAUUAGGAGCAUUUACAUCACCAUCAAACUACAGUAUUUAACCACAUUGCUUUUCUCUCUUAUUCAAGUAAGUUCUUUCCUCCAGACCAUGGCCCAAAAAGGUUCGGCACACUUUGGAAACACCAUUCUGAGGCACACACUGAAAGCCUGGGAAAAGAAGAACACUUUGCAUUUAGAAAUUCAGCAGCCAGGGAAAAGUAAAAAAGAAGCUGAUUUACCAUAGAGACCAACAGCCACUUUGCCACCAAUAGUACAGAGCAUUCCCAGCACAAGACCCAGCUGGGCAGCGCUCAGGACUGGGACUCACUCACUUGGAUGAGAUCACUUGCAGAAAAUCUGCCUUUUCCAGCUGUCAGAUAUUACAAUAAAAGCAUGUCUUUAUAAUCUAUUUCAACUACAUCUAGCUUCUGUAAGCAAACCUAGUAAAUGAUUGCUGCUAUCUCAUACAGGGCUAGACGUGGUUAGCACACAAUGGACUCUACCUGAGCUCAGCUGUGAAUGGGUGACAGCCUCUGUAACACAUGCAGCACCCGGCUUUACAUUAUCCACCUCCAGAUCUGCUCCUAAUUAAGGCCAGGUAGGAAGAGGGCAGAAGAACAGACAAAAGGCACGAGAAAGGACAAAGUACAAUUAAA